rnacentral:rRNA from 1 species
GACGAACGCUGGCGGCGUGCUUAACACAUGCAAGUCGAACGGUGAACGAGGGAGCUUGCUCCCUCCGGAUCAGUGGCGAACGGGUGAGUAACACGUGAGCAAUCUGCCCCGAACUCUGGGAUAAGCGUUGGAAACGACGUCUAAUACCGGAUACGACGCGGGAGGGCAUCCUCUCCGCGUGGAAAGAAAUGCGGUUCGGGAUGAGCUCGCGGCCUAUCAGCUUGUUGGUGAGGUAACGGCUCACCAAGGCGACGACGGGUAGCCGGCCUGAGAGGGUGACCGGCCACACUGGGACUGAGACACGGCCCAGACUCCUACGGGAGGCAGCAGUGGGGAAUAUUGCACAAUGGGCGCAAGCCUGAUGCAGCAACGCCGCGUGAGGGACGACGGCCUUCGGGUUGUAAACCUCUUUUAGCAGGGAAGAAGCGAAAGUGACGGUACCUGCAGAAAAAGCACCGGCUAACUACGUG